rnacentral:tRNA from 1 species
UGUUCUGUGGUGAAGUAGGUUAACGCGCCUUGACUAGUGAAUUUGAAGAGUCAUGGGUUCAAAUCCCACCAGAACAG